rnacentral:lncRNA from 1 species
UAUAUAUAUGUAUACAUAUAUUUAUGUUGUUGACUCACUUGAGCAUUAAUUGUUUUUGUUUUUUUAUUUGAACAUGUUAUAAAUGUAUUUUGUGUGCGUUUUUUAUGGAAUAAUUACAUAUGCGUUUUUGAGUUUGAAAAGGAAAAAUGCAUCCAUAUACUUACAGACACACCAUAAGCAUACGUAUAGACACACAUAUACAUAAAUAGAAAUCUUGAAAAAAUAAUUAAGUCCAGAAAAAUAAAAGUUGGGAAAUACAAAAAAUUCCUGUUUAAUUUUAUUAAAAACUUAUUGAAAUGAAAAUAUAGUUUAAAUAAAAUAUAUAUAUAUGACAUACUAGAAUAUCAAGUGAUAUCAUGAAACUGUGAGUACAAACUAAUAACAAUGGUAUAUAUAUAUAUAUAUAUAUUUAUAUAUGUAUGAAUUUUUUUUUUUUUUUAACCUUUUUUUCUUGGCAUUAUUUACUUUUUUAUUUUAAAGCGUUACUAUUUAAAUAUAAGAUUAAAAAAGGAACAAAAACAGUAGGAGUUUUUAAUUUUAAGUGGUGACUUUGUGCGAAUGUUAGGUAUUAAAUGUACGUUUUUACACAAUUUGUGUCCAAGUAAUUUACAGAACAAUUACUCUUAAAUAAUGAAUACAUAUAUAUAAGCAACAAAACGAGUGUUUGAGACAUUUAUUAAAUAUAUUUGUUAUUUGGAUUAUUGCGUGUUUGAAAGUUUUAUUUAAAACAUUUUAAGUUUUUUUUUUUUUUUUUUUUUUUUUUUUUUUUUUACCUUUUGUUUGACUUGCUUUUUAUUUUCGUUAUUGCCUUAUAUAUUUGUUCUUUUAUUUUUACUUUAUUUAUUUUUUUUUUUUUUUAACUUUCUCGUAUGUCCAUUUUUUUUUUUUUUAAAAAAACAAAUUAAUUUUUAUAAUUUUAAAAAAAAAAAAAAAAAAUGAUAACAAUCGACAAUAAAAAUGAGGAUAAUGUCCAAGUAAGCAAAGGUUGUUGGUUAAAUGUAAAUAAAGUAAAUAGUUGUAAAAAGCAAAAAAAAAAAGUUGAUAAAGAGUUUUAUGAGUCUGAUCCAUCAUUUAACAUUCUUGAAACAUCUAUAGUAUUACCAAUUAUUAAAUUAAAAAAUGAUUUAUUAUGUAUAAGUGAAAAUAAACAAAUAAAUAGAUUAAGAGAAGAACAAAAAAGGAAACAAAAGAAGGAACAGACAGGAGGGAAAAUAGAAGAAAAAACAGGGAGGCAAAAGCAGACUAAUAUAGAAACAAAGAGCAAUAAAAUUGAUAUAAUAAAUGAUAAUGAAGUUAAUUCGAUUUUAUUAAGAAGCAAAGCUUUUAAUGAGACAUGGAAAUGUAUUAACGGUUUUUUGGACUGUUAUAUUUACAACUAUAUAAAUGAUAUGGUAAACAGAGAGAUAAAUAUUUUGAAUAAAAAUAUAUGCUUAAAAAGUGAUACAAUAUGUUUAGCCAUUGUAAGAACACAGGCAUGUGAUUUCGUUAAUAUGUUACAGUAUAGGAUUAUAUGUGAUCAUUUAGCUUUUAUAAAUAGUGGUGAAAAAGAAGAAGAAGAGGAAGAAAAAGAUGGAGAAGGAGAAAGAGGAGGGGAAAGAAGAGGAAGAAAAGAAUGUCAGGAAAAUGCGUGUGAGCAUAUUCACAAACAUAUAUUCGUUUACGAAAAUAGCAAUAAAAAACUUAUUCCAUGCACAGAAUUAAAAAGUCGUAAAACUAUAGUUUCGUGUAUAAUAAAUGUUUAUAGUAGUGAUAAUAUUGAUAGCAUUAUUAUAAGAAUACUAAAAAAUAUAGGUGAUAAUAAGAAAUCAUUAAAAAUAGAUCAAAAUAAUAUGCAUAGUUUGUUUCAAACUAUAGUAAAAAAAAAGAAAAACAUGGUUUUAAUUAUAUUUAUAAAAAAUUACAUAAAUAUAAAAUCAUCCAUAUUUAGUGCUUUAUUAUUAUAUUUAACACAUAUAAAAGAUACAAAUUUAAUCAAUAUAGGUGUAAUAGUAACAAAUAGUAGUAUAUUAUCAGCUUUGAACAACUUAGAUUUUAUGAUAAAAAAACAUGUCAAUGUUACUAUUUGUAAUAUGUAUAUAAAUUAUUAUAAUUUAUUAGAACACAUUGCAUUUAAUCCAUUAUUAUUACAUAACGUUUUAUAUAGGUUAAAGAGUUACCAAUUGAUUUUAGAUUAUAUUUAUUAUUAUAAUAGUGAUAUCACUUUUUUAAAAAUAAAAUAUUUUAUUUAUAUGUUUUUGCGAGAUUUUUAUGAUAAAAAAAUUUUAUCUUUUUUAAAUAUUCCUUUAACAUAUUUUAGUAGUACUCAAACGGGUGCUACUCGAACGGGUGUUACUCGAACGGGUGCUACUCGAACGGGUGUUACUCGAACGGGUACUACUCAAAAGGAUGUGGAAAAGAAAUAUGCGAACGAAAAUGCAUUAACAGGGGUAUUAAAAAGAGAGUAUGAAAAACCGUUUACAUAUUUUUACAAAGAACUAGUAGAAUCAUUAAAUAACAUAGACGUACAACAAAUACAUGACAAAUUUAUUCUCCUUUUUUAUGCAAGUAAUUUUUAUAAUUUACAUAUUAACCAUUUUAAACUAAAAGGGAAUUGCUAUACGCAAUAUAUGCUAAACGAGUUAUCAAAAAAAAAAAAAAAAAAUGAACACCUUGAUGAUGAUAAUGGUAAUAGUAUUAAUAGGAAUAAUAAUAAUAAUGAUAAUAAUAAUAAUAAUAAUAAUAGUAAUAUUAAUUAUGAUAAGUACCAUGGAAUUUUGAAAGAUAAUAAGGUUGAGGUUAUAAAUGCUCGUAGGAACCAAACAUGCUCAAAAAGAAAAAGAGAAGAUGAUUGUUUUUAUAACUGUAUAAAAAAUUUUGGUUGUACUAACUACUGUCAAAAUGUAAAUAAUAAGGAUAAUUGGGAGGAAAAUGAUAAUUCUUACAAUGACUAUAAUGAUGGUAAUAGUGGUAAGACUACUGGCUAUAAUAGUAGUGAGGUAAGUAGUGCGGCCAGCAGAGAAAACAAUAACAAGGACAGGACUCGUAACAAUAAAAAAGAUAUAAAAUUGAUGCAUGAAAUAAUACAUUUAUCCUUUCAAAAUAAUUUAUUAAUGAAAAAAUUAAAAAUAAAUAAGCAGUAUAAAAAUUAUUAUUAUCAAAAUUAUACAUUACAUAAUUUAUUUGUAAGUUUAUCACCGAUUACAAAACAAACAAAUAAUAACAUUUUAGAUGAUUGUAUUAUACUCAAACAACAUAUAAUUAAUAAUUUGCACAUGCACAUGAAACUAGAACAUAAUUUUGAUUCUUUAAAAAUACUUAAAAAAGAGUGGUGUAAUAAUGAGUAUGUGCAUAUUUAUAAAUAUGAAAAAGUAGCUGCACAAUUGGUAGCUAGUUAUGAAAAUACUAGCCACGAUCAUAAAAAUACUACUCCUAACUAUGUACAAAAAAAUACACCAAUAAAUAUGCCUAAUCAUUGUAGUACUACCCCUAACUAUGUACAAAAAAAUACAUCAAUAAAUACGCCUAAUCAUUAUAGUGUUACACCUAGCCAUGGUCUAAUGAAUAUGCCUAAUAACACUAUUAACCAAGAUAAUAAUCGUAAAGAAAAAAAUCGUAUAAAAAAAUUGUUAUUGUUACAUUUACACAAUUACUUAGCUAAAUCAAUUAGUAAAAAAAUGAUUAUACUUUUAUACAUAAAACAAAAAUAUAGCAUAUGCUUAGCAAUUAUUGAUAUAAUCUUAAAAAAUAUGCCAGUACAAUCUUCACUAAGAAAACGAGUAAACAUCAUAACAGAAUUGUUCCAAAAGUAUGAACAGAAACAUAUAAUACAAGAUAUGUAUGACCUUAAUAAAGCAAAUGAUG